UCGGGAAUUUUGGGCAAUGGGCGAAAGCCUGACCCAGCAACGCCGCGUGAAGGAUGAAGUAUUUCGGUAUGUAAACUUCGAAAGAAUAGGAAGAAUUAAUGACGGUACUAUUUAUAAGGUCCGGCUAACUACGUGCCAGCAGCCGCGGUAAUACGUAGGGACCAAGCGUUGUUCGGAUUUACUGGGCGUAAAGGGCGCGUAGGCGGCAAUUCAAGUCAGCUGUGAAAUCUCUGGGCUUAACCCGGAACGGCCAGCUGAUACUGCUUUGCUAGAGUGCGGAAGGGGCAAUCGGAAUUCUUGGUGUAGCGGUAAAAUGCGGAGAUAUCAAGAGGAACACCUGAGGUGAAGACGGGUUGCUGGGCCGACACUGACGCUGAGGCGCGAAAGCCAGGGGAGCAAACG
rnacentral:rRNA from 1 species